GAUGAAGAACGUAGCGAAAUGCGAUAAGUAGUGUGAAUUGCAGAAUUCAGUGAAUCAUCGAAUCUUUGAACGCACAUUGCGCCUUCCGGUAUUCCGGGAGGCAUGCCUGUCCGAACGUCAUCAAGCCUCUCGCCCGCUUCUUUUGCUUGAAAAGUGGCAAGGGCGGCACAUGGCGAAUGGCUGCCUCAGAGCGGCCAUCGCCGAAAUCCAUUGGCAGACCCUCCAUGGCUGUGAUUGUGAUAAGAUUUUACUUACAAUUGCCAGACUGGUAGGCGCCUUGCCGAAAGCAGCCGGGCGGUCCUCCACGGGACCGAACGCUAUACCACAUCUUUUGACUUCGGAUCAGGUAGGGAUACCCGCUGAACUUAAGCAUAUCAAUAAGCGGAGGA
rnacentral:misc_RNA from 1 species